ACGGCGGGAUGGUCACCCCCGCUCCAUGCCCGAACACGGUAGUUAAGCUUCUCUGCGCCAAUGGUAGUUGGGGGCUUCCCCCUGCGAGAGUAGGUCGCUGCCGGGC
rnacentral:rRNA from 1 species